UAUUCCUGUGGCUAACAAUAGUAUGAAAA
rnacentral:piRNA from 1 species